AACGUAGGGGACAAGCGUUAUCCGGAUUUACUGGGCGUAAAGCGCCCGUAGGCGGCUUAACAAGUUGGAUGUGAAAGCUCCCGGCUUAACUGGGAGAGGUCAUUCAAAACUGUUAGGCUAGAGGAUGGAAGAGGAGAGCGGAAUUCCCGGUGUAGUGGUGGAAUGCGUAGAGAUCGGGAGGAACACCAGUGGCGAAAGCGGCUCUCUGGUUCACACCUGACGCUGAGGUGCGAAAGCGUGGGGAGCAAACAGG
rnacentral:rRNA from 1 species